rnacentral:rRNA from 1 species
UACGUAGGGGGCGAGCGUUAUCCGGAUUUACUGGGUGUAAAGGGCGCGUAGGCGGUUAUUUAAGUUAGAUGUGAAAUCCCAAGGCUCAACUUUGGAACUGCAUCUAAAACUGGGUAACUAGAGUGCAGGAGAGGAAAGCGGAAUUCUCAGUGUAGCGGUGAAAUGCGUAGAUAUUGAGAGGAACACCGGUGGCGAAGGCGGCUUUCUGGACUGUAACUGACGCUGAGGCGCGACAGCGUGGGGAGCAAACCGG